rnacentral:lncRNA from 1 species
CUAUGUCAGUUUUCCAUGAGAAUCCUCUGCCUGUACAAUAAUAAGUCUACAUGUAAACAAACCCAAAGUUGUGGACUGGAGCUUGGGGUCUCAUUUUUCAGUGUGUAGGUUUCUAGUCCCUACCCCUUUCAGUUCAGCCUCCUCACCUUUCUGCUGUCCUGAGUGUGAAGGAUAGCAGAUGUCUAUCCUUCACAUUGAAUCCUCUGAUUCAGUGUCUCCAGAGAAUAAACCUCCCAUCUCUGUUGAGGUAAGGGUGGGCCGCACAGGCUCUAACUGAUUCUCAAACCAACUUUAAACCAGACCUUCUGUUUUCAGCCCUAUCUGCACAACUACCUUCAGAGGCAUCUUGCAUUUUUAAUUUCUGACACUUUUGGAGUUCCUCAAUGCAAGUGGAAGUUGCUUUUUUUGGCUCUCCCCUGAACUUGUAGAGUACAUAGUUUUCAUCUUUAUUCAGUCUUCUAAGUGAAUUUUCUCAUGUCCAUAUUCUCUCUAAUUUUUCCCAAUUUUCUUGCCAUCUCUGGUCAGCUGUUAUCUUCUCUUUUUUUUCUUUUACAGUUUGUAUUUUUUUAAUCUAUGCAUUAUCAUUUUAGAGAAAUAAGGAGAAGCAAAGAUAAGCAUAUACAUUUAAUCCACUGCACUUAACUAGGAGUUUGUAUUUAAUAAUCCACUUUAAUCAGAUGUCUACCUAACAUUUUAUUGAAUCUUUUCUGCCUCCUUGCUUUUCAGGUUUUUUUUUUUUCUAUUCUUGUAUCUACCAUGUAGGCUUGCCUAUUAUCUUCAUUUAGCAUCCUCAGGCAAAGCUAUUUUUUAUCAUUGCCCUUCCAUUGCACUGUGUACAAUGCUGCUCUUGCUGCCUUGAGUACAUAUUGAUGUAGUACAAAUAUGUGGAUGGAUGGCUGUCUUCUGUUUCUCUGGGUGGGGAAUUUUUCUACACCCAGGGUCCAACAUGGGGCCCGCUACUGACUCAUGUUCCUUAAACUUUAUUGAAUGAAAAAAAAAUGCCUCAGAAAAUUUAAUGGGAAACUCAAUGCAAAGACCUGAAUGUCCAUGGGCCAGUCAAGCUAUAUUCAGUAUCAGGAUUUAGAAGCUUCAGAGAUCAUCUAUUUAAACUACUUUGUUUUACAAAUGAGAAAACUAAAGCCUAAAUGAGGAAAAUAAAACUUAUUAUAUGGUAUAUAGCAGGGACUUUAAUUCACAUUUUCUAAGAUCCUCACCCACAGAUAUUUCUUCCACAAUCUAUUUCUUUAAGCAAUGACAUUUUGAUAACCAGAAGUCAGCAUAUUAAUGGCUCUAUUGUAAACAAUACAUUUUGUUUUUGUUACUGAAUCUAAUUACGUUUGUGAAACAUGAUACAGAUAGCUGUGUACAAAACAAACUGAGGUUAGGAAACUUCAGCAAACCAGAUAAAAGGCUGAUGUUGGAAACCAUGUGAAAUGAUAAAGAUCUGAACUAAGAUGGCAUAUGGAGAAAAAUAUUGAUGGGAUAUAUCAAAAAGCAGAAGAGAGAGAUGCAUUAAAUAAUAGGCAGGAUAAGGAGGAUGUUUGUACCAUUUUCAACAAUAGGAGCAAGUGAUGGCUCUCUAGUGAGUGACUUUGAUAAAAGCCUGUCUAGUCAAACCCCAGAAGAAACUGAACAUUGGUGGAUGAUGGAUUUGGGUUCCAAAUGGACUAUGAAUGUUGUGUCAGUCACCAACUGAAGAGAAUGUAUUCAUGGACAAAUAAAGACACUUGCGAUUUUAAUUGGGUACUCACUUGCUCAGAGUGGCAAGACAAAUUCCAGGUGGCUGUCAUCUCAUUGUGCUCACAUAACCUUCUUAGUGCAUGCAUGAGCAGGAGAAAAAGAGAAAGCAAGCUCUCCGGUGUCUCCUCUUACAAAGGCCCUAAUCCCAUUAUGAAAGUCCCACCCUUAUGAUCUCAUCUAACCCUAAUUACCUCCCAAAGGCCUCAUCUUCACAUAUCAUCACAUUGGAGAAAGGGGCUUCAACAUAUUAAUUUAGGGAGACACAAACAUUCAGUUCAUAACACGUCUAGUGUGUUGAAGAAAUAUCCAGAAGGCCAGUGAAGCUAAAGCAGACUUGGUGAAGGAAACAAUGGUAGGACAUGAGAUCAGAGGGUCUGUUAGCUUGAAAUAUUGGGAACUACUGGAAAAGCAUUACCCUUAUUGUAAAUGAGAUGGGAGCCACUGAAGGGUUUUGAACUAAGAGGUAAUAUAAUCUGAAUUAUGAUUUAAAAGGGGCAUUUUAUCUGUUGUAAGGAGCAUAACCUAUAGGGUGCAAGAAUGCAAGAGAUGAUGGUCAUUUGAACCAGAGUGGUAGCAAUAGCAAUGGUGAGAAGCAGUUGGAUUCUGGAUGUAUUUUGAAGGUAAAGCCAACCUAUUGGAAAUUAGAGAGGGAUUAGAUGUACAGUAUAAAAGAGAAAGAAGAGUUAACUGUAGCUUGAGAAACUAGAGUUGUGAAGGGAUGUACUUGUCAUUAUUGAUGUGGGGAAGACUAGGGGAGGAGCAGGAUUAAGAAGGGGGCAGAGAAAAACAGGAGUGUGGUUUUGGACAUGUUAAACUGAAAAUUUGUAUUAGACAUCCAGGUGGAAAUGUCAGGUAGGCAGUUGUACAUAAAAUUCUUGAGGUUAGGGGAAAGGUCAAAGCUGGAAAUAUAUAUAUAUAUAUAUCAGUGUCACCAGCAUAUAGAUCGUAUUUGAGGCUUUGAGCUCUACGAGAUCAUCAAGGAAGUGAGCAUACCUAAAAAAUAGAAGACGGCUAGGUAUGAGCUGACAGGUG